rnacentral:lncRNA from 1 species
UGAAAGGUGGUUACUUAAUUAGGACCUUACUCUCUGAGUAAGGGGAGCCUUCCACCUGCUUACCUGGCCAAUUGUUCGAUUACCUCUUAUGAAGAGCUAAAGUUGCAAACACUAAGACCUGAUUAACCAAUAUUAAGUCAAUAGGUCUUCCACUAUAGUAGAGCUGCUAAGGUCUUUCUGAUGUUGAUUUGUCUCGGCUGGACACAGUGGGCAAGUUGCAUCGGAGGGCUGGACCUCUCUAUAGACAUGAGAUGUUGUAGGGUAAAGGUGGGGUUGGGCACCAAUAACUGUUAGGUGAGGACCCAA